UUCCGUCUAAUAUUCCUUCUUGUCUUAGAGGAAAAUGGUUAAAUCUCUGAGGAUUAAGGCCCAGUGGGCAGCUGAAGACGAGCGUUAGCUGAAGCAGGACUGUCUUACUUCAAAACAAGUAUUACCUGGGGGAAAAGCAACAAGCCUGGCAGAUAGAAGCAAGCUUAUUGCUCAGUCUUCCGUUUGCUUGCCUUCUUCAUCUCUGGACACCGUACUCUCCUGUUCUGUAACUGCUGGACCAUGUGGUGGGUCUUAAGACUUCGUUAUAGCUUCUUUGUCUUGCCUGCCCCAUGGAUUUAUCACUGCCAAGAGAAUCCUGAAGAGCCUGGCUGUGGAAGAGUAUUGACCUUGAUGAAUAAACCGGAUCAAUGCCAGCAACAUGCUUUAUUGGACCUCCUGCGAGAUGAAUUUGUCGAGAGACGGCCUGUGAGAUGGAGUCAACAUGCAGAUGAGAUUGGUGACCGGACUUUGUUUUUCCUGGAACAACAUUUCGCUUCUCAUCCCCAGGAGCAUCUUCGCUUCUGACUUCAGUUAUGCUUCGGUCAGAAAAUUCGGACGCUUGGCAACGGUCUCCUAUUUACGACAGUUGAAGUGUCCCCCUUCUAAAACUGGAGGCUUUUAAGAAGAGACUGGACCUUCACUUGUCUGAGAUGGUAUAUCGGUUCUCCUCCUUGAGUGGGGGGCUGGACUAGAAGACCUCCAAGGUCCCCUUCCAGCUCUCUUCUAUUCUAACCUUCUGACAAGCAAAAUCAGUGGGAAAACCAGAGUGACUUAACAAUCAUGAUAUUGAAUGGAUAACUAUACUUAAGAACAGUGACAAGAAAGGAUGUAAAAUGGUGCAAAAUUCACUUAGCAACUGUCCCACUGAGGAACAGACAUUCUGGGCUCAAUGGCCGUCAUACGUUGAGGACUAUCUGACCUGGAGCAUUUUAGAAGUUUCUCUUUUUUCUCUUUCUCCCUCCGUGCGCUCAGAUCUGCAGAGCGAAAAGGUGAUUUUUCUUAAAAAAGCGCCAGCCAGCCGAAGAAGCAACACAAUCAAGCUCAAUUAUAUUAGCGGGUACUCUGCAAUUAUAUUGCUCUGCAGUUGAUCGGGGCACUUUGGAAAGCAUUAACUAAUUAAUGGAAUUUACUGGAAGCAAUUGCGCUUUUGUUUCAGGAUGAAAUAAAUAAAUAAACAGGCCGAGCCCGCUGAGGGGUGGCUGAGGUGAGUUGUCGGGUGGGAGAUGGGAAAAUCUGGGAAGUGGGUUGGACUGGCACAUCCCAUGAAUGAGAGAGAGAGAUCCCUGUUUGCAGAAAUUGGAUUGGAGUGCUGGCAAUUAUCUCGGACUCUCAUUCGUUCAGAUAUAUAUGAAUGAGUGUUAAGAGCCAGGAUGGCUUAAGGUGCUGAUUUUAAGGGUGGAGUGAUACAGAUUAGGAACAAAAUACAAUAUAUGUAUAUAUACAAGGUCCCUUCCAACUAUUCUAUUCUAUUCUAUUCUAUUCUAUUCUAUUCUAUUCUAUUCUAUUCUAUUCUAUUCUAUUCUAUUCUAUU